UUAUUAAUUGAACUAUUUUGAUGUUGUAAAUAUUACUAUAUUUAUCUAUAAAACUUGGUCAAACUUAGAUUAGUUUGACUUUGACCGAAGUCAAAAGUAGUUUGACUCUGACCGAAGUCAAAACAACUUAUAGCCUGAAACGGAGUUAGUAUUAGAGCCAGCAUCUUGAAAUAUAGGAUGUGCUUCUAUGCUUCUAAAAAAACUACAUGAAAAUCAAAGCACAUUAGUUGCUGAGAUUAAAAGCGGGAUUAAUACUUAAUCACCAUUAGCGAGGGGUAUUUUCAUCCACAGAUUUGGAGCCCAUGUCCAGCCCAAUCCAUCUGAAGUGAUCGGGCCCACCCCUACCAGUCCACCAUGACACCGAUUCCUUCCUCCACCAGCGAGGGCUGCGUCAUGGCCGCCUCUGGCGACAUGCUGUAGAUGUGCCCGCUUGUCAAGGAAUAUCAGCGAGGCCUAUGAAAUAAUGGCAAAAAAAUGUGUUUAACAAAUAAUCCAGGGAGAGGCCCUCAUACCAAAUGGCUUGAUGAUACAGUUAUUAAUGUUGACUUAUAAUGUUGCUUAUUAUCCAUGAUAACCUUUGUGACGUGCUUACUCAUGAUAACUUGGUUUAUUGCAUAUUGUAUACUCUUACAGUCUAAUAAUAAAGGAACGUCGCAACGCCAUUGACCACGGGAAAAAAACAUUCAAUGUUUUUUAUCCAACUGUUCUUAAUUGGAUGGCGAACAAUGUAUAACAUUCUCGUAAAGAUGGUCGGGGAAGUCAAACAAGCGUUAAUCGAGCUCUCGAUAUUGCACAAAGUGAUUUGAUUAAAGUAUAAAAAACGAUUUGGAUGUGGCUACUUGUCAAGGCAUUCGGAUGCCAAAAAUUCGUGACUGGAAACUCAAGCAAUUCCACAAAGUUCCGAAACAAAAUGAUUUGCCCUACUGAUAUUCCUUGACGAGCGGACACAUCCGCAGCGCGUCGCAGGAGGCUGUCGUGACGCAGCUCUCGCUGGCGGAGGAAGGAAUCAGCGUUGUGGUGGACUGGUGGGGGUGGGCCAGAUCGCUUCAUAUCGAUUGGGCUGUUCAUGGGCUCAAAAAUCUGUGGAUGAAAAUACCCCUCGCUAAUGAUGAUUAAGUGUUAAUCCCACUUUUAAUCUCAGUCACUGAUGUGCUUUGAUUUUCGUGCAGUUUUUCUUUUAGAAGCAUAGAAGCACAUCCCGCUAAGGUCGCUAAGGUAUUUGGUGGUUACAAUAAGUGGCUCUUUCUUGAUGUAUCUAUCCAUGGGGUGCUUGUCGACGCAACUCCUAGGUGUGUUUGAUCAUCCGAAGAAGAAUUGUAUUGAAAAGUGCUUUUGUAACUGGACAUAGGUCUUCGGUGCUUGUUCAAUAUUUCAGAAUGCCCCUACAUUCAGAGAACACAUCCCACUAAGAGCUUCCCCCGUCCAGAAGCUUUUAGACGUAAAAGGACAUGGGAUCAGGAUCAAACGGAGAUUGAAGAGCCUACCUUGCAUCACCUCGUGACAGUGAUCAUUAAACGAUUUCGUUGGGCUCGACUGCGAGGUUGCUCUUGUUGGACUGCUACUGAGCUGGUCACCUUCUUUAGAUGAACUGAAGAUAUUCAAGGUCAAGGGUGAUGAGAACGAGGACGAUGGCAGGGUUGGAAAUUCCGGAACAAAAUUUCCGAGUCAUUUUGGACCCCUCCGAUACAAUAUUAUUUCAGCUGAAAUUUUUAAUUUUUUUAAUUUUUCCGUGAAUUUUGGUAAUAUUUGUUCAAAAUUUCAGAAAUUUCGGAAUUUCGGUGAGUACCGAUCAAAUCGGCUAAACCGAAAAGUUUAACCCUGGGCGAUGGCAUGUGCAUGUGCAAGGCCAAGAUCACUGUCAUCUGAUUCAUAUACCUCCCGGUCAUAUACCUUUCGGAAUUGCUGCGUUUCCGCUUCAUGUUGACAUUGCUAGGGGCAUAAAUACUGUUACUUAGUCUCUGUCCUGGGAUGGAUGUUGGGGGCUAUACUUGCGCUAAUUUUAUCUCUGUCCUGGGAUGUCGAGGGUUAAACUUUCCGUUAAAUCUAAAUUGUAGGUGUCUCUUUGAGUUCUCUAUAUUUUUUUCCUUUAAACUGGGCAUGCCUGGUUCAGAAUGAAUGUUCUUGUUUCGAGAAUUA